AUACAAGAGUAAUGCUUAUAACUAAAAUAUAAAUAUUUUUUUUUCAAUUUUAACAGGAGAUAUGACGAUGUGUGAAGCGUUGUCUGAAGGCUGAUGAGGCUGGAGAACUGGAGGAUGAUGAGGAAGGGAAUGCAGACACAGGGGAAAGAGGCAAGCUGAGGCUGGAGAGGCAUUUCGAAGGAGACAAAGGCUGUAGUGCUAAAGAUGCAAAUAGGCUGGUAACUGAGACGAAUGUAAUCGAAAUCCCCCAAGAUCCAGAAUAUGGGAAGAUAACGGACAGACGAAAGUUUAUGCCAAUGAGGUAUUGUAAAUGUUGGGGUCUUCUUAUCCUUUCUUUAUUUAUAUUAUUAAAAUUUAAAAUGCUUUUGCAAAACAAAAGGGUUUAAGUAAUAAAAAUGUUGGGGACUUGUAAUCCUUUCUUAUUUAUUAAUAUUAUUACACCAUCCAUUGAUGCAUUGAGCUAAGACAAGUCGUGUUAUGCACGACUUCAGUAAUAUAUUUUAUUUCUAUAAAUAGGGCUGAAAUUCUAUUACAUUGAACCAAUAAAAAUAAUUUUAUUAUACCAUGAAUUGAUAACAAUGAAAAACUAUUAUUUAAACUUUCGUCAAGUGAGGUUUGCAAUCUCCCUGUCUGUCCAUCAAGCAUAGUCAAUGAUUAUAAUUAAAUUAUAAAAUGAAUUUAGAAAUUUAAAUUAGUAAAAAAUUAUCAUUAUCAUCAUAAUCACAUAAAUUAAUGGAUGAAUUUAAAAUAGGAUAAAUUUAUGAGGUUAUAUAGUGUACCUGUGUAAUAAGCAGAAGUAAUUUAAUUUUGAGUAUGGAUUGAAUAAACAAUUAAAAUGAAAUGAA